CCAAUAGCGUAUAUUAAAGUUGUUGCCGUUAAAAAGCUCGUAGUUGAAUUUCGGGAUCAAGGAAUCGGUCAUGCCUCGGUAUGUACUGGUUUUAUUGGUUCUCACCUUCUAAAGAACCAUAAUGUCAUUCAUUUGAUGUUAUGGGGAAUUAGGACUGUUACCUUGAAAAAAUUAGAGUGUUUAAAGCAGGCUUACGCUUGAAUACAUUAGCAUGGAAUAAUGAAAUAGGACAUCAGAUUCUAUUUUGUUGGUUUCUAGGAUCGAUGUAAUGAUUAAUAGGGAUAGUUGGGGGCAUUAGUAUUCAAUUGUCAGAGGUGAAAUUCUUGGAUUUAUUGAAGACUAACUACUGCGAAAGCAUUUGCCAAGGAUGUUUUCAUUAAUCAAGAACGAAAGUUAGGGGAUCGAAGACGAUCAGAUACCGUCGUAGUCUUAACCAUAAACUAUGCCGACUAGGGAUCGGAUGAUGUUUAUUUUUUAGUGACUCAUUCGGCACCUUACG
rnacentral:rRNA from 1 species